AUGGGUUGUCUCUUCUCUCCAGUGUCUAACAAGCACCUGUUUGUGGACAGCAACCUCCCCUACCAGUUCAGAAUGAACUUCCAUAGGAGGCAAAGGCUGAUGGAACUGCUCAACGAGAAGUCCCCGUCCUCUCAGGAGAGGCAUGACAGUCCCUUCUGUCUGAGGAAGCAGAGCCACGACAGCCGGAAAUCUACCAGCUUUAUGUCAGUCAGCCCCAGCAAGGAGAUCAAGAUGGUGUCGGCUGUGCGGAGGAGCAGCAUGAGCAGCUGCGGCAGCAGUGGCUACUUCAGCAACAGCCCGACACUCAGCAGCAGCCCCCCUGUGCUUUGCAACCCCAAAUCUGUGCUGAAGAGACCUGUCACUUCUGAGGAACUCUUGACUCCUGGGACUCCGUAUGCAAGGAAGACAUUCACGAUUGUUGGUGAUGCAGUUGGCUGGGGCUUUGUGGUACAAGGAAGUAAAUCAUGCCACAUCCAGGCUGUGGAUCCCGGUGGAUCUGCAGCCGCUGUGGGGAUGAAGGUCUGUCAGUUUGUUGUCUCUAUCAAUGGCCUCAACAUGCUGAAUGUAGACUACUGCACAUUGAGCAAUCUGAUUCUGACAGGCCCAAGGACAGUUGUCCUGGAAGUCAUGGAGGAGUUGGACUGCUGA